rnacentral:misc_RNA from 1 species
UGGGCUUUCAUCAAGAACUAAUGACAAUGGGGUGAUGGACUCCAUUCAAGAGAGUCACUGUGCAUCUGAAGUCCCUGAAGCAGCUGAUGGGGAAAAUUUAUUGAGGGUAAUCAGAUUGCAAAAGACUUUGGAAAUAAGCAUGUAGAAAGCCCAUCGAAUAUCUAAAUCCUUGCGUUUCGAAAUCUAAGCUGCAUUCAUUGACACA